ACACCGUCGCUAUCUCAUUCCCUCGCGAUUUUCUCCCCGCUAUAAAUUGAAAACCAAUUUUCUUUUUCCCUUUUAAUUUAAAAACAAAUUCCACCUUUUUUAUUUUAUAAAAAAAGAAAAUAAUCUCCGGCGGAGUUUUCCGUUUCCGGCUCCAUAUUCGAAUCCUCUAAGGCUUGUGCAAGUGAGUUGACUCGGAUGAGCUGAGAGCGUCAGAGAUUCUACCGCAAAUGCAAGACUGGAUCAAACUAUGGUUUGGACAAAUGAGAAGCAAAUGCAACUCUUAUCUUGAUUUCUUAGAAGCAUCAUUUGUUAAGCAGUUGCAUAGUUCUACGAAUUUGCAUGGCUGUCACUGAGAAGAGAAAACGUGGGAGCCUUGUGCAACCCCACAACUUCCAGCAAAAGGUCAUAGAUUUUCCCAUCAGAUUUUGGUUCUACAAGUUGACUGCAAACCGAAAGAUAAACUAUCAGAGUUAUGACCCUUUGUUCAGCAGCACCCGCUGAUUCUUGUGAUAUCAUGGGAUGUUCACGGUUACAUCACUUACACCUGCAGGAAAAAGCAGCUCAACUACAUUUCCUGUUCCAAGAGAAAUUGUGGUGCCCAAUGAUGGAAUCUACAUCUACUCAAGAAGUAAUACAAACUUCUCUCACAAAUCAGCAAGGAAUUCAGGGCAGCAUCCCAUAUAUCAGUUCUGCAACUACAGCUUGGGUAGCUGUACCGCUGGUAAAUCUAAUUAGGCUUCAAUCUGCUGAGGUGUCAGAUCAGAACUUGGUGGAUGAAGACCAAGGAAAAAAAACCAGCAAUGUCCGGUGCAAAAAGCUUGAAGAUGAUGGCAGUUCUUGAUGCUUCGAGCCAUGGUCAAGUGAAAAGUGGGUACAAUAGAGAACUCAAUCUUCAAUAAAACAUAUGCAAAAGGAGAGAAGAAGAAAUUGGUGUGGAAGGGGAGCUGCCCUGAGAGCUCUGUCGACUCAUACAUGUUGCCUGGUAUAGCCGUUCACAAUCGCAAUUGCCUAAAAUAAACUCUUCGAGCCAGUUCCUUCGUGUGGCUUCAAAAGCACUCUUUAGAAGUAUUUUGCCAGUUUUGAAUGGCAAAAACUCUUGUUUAGCAUUGUUUUUGCUGCAAAAACAAUUACUUUUGAACAGUCAAAAGCAAUGCUAAAUACGGACACUCCCUCAUACUUUGAUCCCUACUAACCCUUCAGAUGUUCCACUAAACAGGGCCAAAGUAAAAGGCUGUUUAGGUUUUUCUUUUAUACAACUCUUGUUACUAUCAGUAACUUUCUAAACUCUUAACUUGGAAGAAAA